UGGGGAAUAUUGGACAAUGGGGGCAACCCUGAUCCAGCAAUGCCGCGUGUGUGAAGAAGGUUUUCGGAUUGUAAAGCACUUUCGGCGGGGACGAUGAUGACGGUACCCGCAGAAGAAGCCCCGGCUAACUUCGUGCCAGCAGCCGCGGUAAUACGAAGGGGGCUAGCGUUGCUCGGAAUGACUGGGCGUAAAGGGCGUGUAGGCGGUUUGUACAGUCAGGUGUGAAAUCCCCGGGCUUAACCUGGGAGCUGCAUUUGAGACGUGCAGACUAGAGUGUGAGAGAGGGUUGUGGAAUUCCCAGUGUAGAGGUGAAAUUCGUAGAUAUUGGGAAGAACACCGGUGGCGAAGGCGGCAACCUGGCUCAUUACUGACGCUGAGGCGCGAAAGCGUGGGGAGCAAACAGGAUUAGAUACCCUGGUAGUCCACGCUGUAAACGAUGUGUGCUGGAUGUUGGGUAACUUAGUUAUUCAGUGUCGUAGCUAACGCGAUAAGCACACCGCCUGGGGAGUACGGCCGCAAGGUUG
rnacentral:rRNA from 1 species